AGUUGUUUCUCUAUUGCUACACAAAAUUAGUUUCCAUCAACAGUCCAGCAUUGUAUAAUGUUUGUAAUCCAAUCUUCUCUAAGCACUUUGUUGUUUGACCUUUGUGCAUUUCAUCAUUUGUUAUGCAAAUGAAAAAUUUGUUCAGUGAGAUCAGUUUGGAUACAAUAUCCAUCUCCUGUCUGAAUAAAUUCCUAUUGCAUCUUGGGAUAUAUCCCAAGAUACAAUAAGAAUUUGUUCAUAACCCAAGAUGGCAUCCUUCAUUUUCAUCUGAAGAAUGCUAUCCUGGACUGUGUUUCAACAACUCUUUUUGAAUUAGUCUUUUGAACACGGAUUCUGUGUCAGUAUUUAUUGAUUGUUCUAAAUUUGUUGGCCAUAUGAAUUUGCUUUUGUCUGCAAUUACAAAGUAUAAUUCUGAGCAGAUAUCCCUAUUGGUAUCUGUAUGCAUUGCAGAGAUACAUGCUAUCUGUCUAACAUUGAAAUAUAAUAGGACAAAAGGCCAUCAUUGCAGUAUAAUCUAUUUUGACUUACUGAGUACAUUGCAAAUACUUAUCUUGUGGAAGUUCUCACUAUAUCUGCUUAUUUCAAUUGUUUGAAAAUUUCUGUCCUGUUUAUCAUCAUGGGGAUUUGCUAUCAAAAUUUGUUGGGUCAUAGAAUAUAUAGGAAUUAAAGAGAUUUAAGAGGAGUCAGCCAUGUUUUUCAGGAUGAUCAACUUUUUGAUUUUGCAGCCAAGUUGAUCAUCCUGAACAACUUUCAGCCCUUAUCAAUCCUUUAUAAGGAUUUAAAAGGACUGAUAAGGGAAUUAUUAAGCAGAAGCUACUACUAUUGUAGGAGAAUAUGUGGGAUAAACAAAUUAACAAGCUUCAAUGAGUUCAAACCAUUGAUUAACCAAUGGAACUUCAGCUACUGCAAUAACAGGAGAAUAGAAAUUGUCCUUGCAAGGGCACCUAGGACUCAUCCAUAACUAUCUUUUAAUGCGUGAAGACUAUAGUUUGUGACUAUUGUAAUUGCCCUUACUAUUAACUAAAUUUUAAAGAAUAAUGAAUAUUUUAUUAAAAAUUGUCAUUGACAUUUUAAUCUUUACAAUUUUAAUUUAAAAAUCAUUAUUAGCAAGGAUUUUAAUUCUUAGGUCUUUUCAAUUUUUUCUGACAUCUGUGUUGUUUAUCUUAUUUACUUUUAAUUUAUCACUUGCUAAUUU
rnacentral:lncRNA from 1 species